UAAGUCCUAUCUUUACGGUCUUCUACCUACUAACCGGUAGUUGUAAAUCCUAUUUUCUCCCAUUCUGUUCCUCAGCAGAUUGUUGUGGUCUUCUACCUACUAACCGGUAGAUGUGAACCCCCUUUUCUCCCCUUUGUUGAGUCAACCCUUGUGCUCAUCCUAGUCGAUGACGGUUACUUUUCCGUGGUUUUCUACCUACGAACUGGUAGAUGUAAUCCCCUCUUUGCGGUUAUCAUUAUCCAGUUUUCGGUAUUGAUAGUCCUUUUCCCUUUUGGAUAUUUGCUUUGAUUAAG
rnacentral:lncRNA from 1 species